AAUAUUGGACAAUGGGCGAAAGCCUGAUCCAGCCAUGCCGCGUGUGUGAAGAAGGUCUUCGGAUUGUAAAGCACUUUAAGUUGGGAGGAAGGGCAGUAAGUUAAUACCUUGCUGUUUUGACGUUACCGACAGAAUAAGCACCGGCUAACUUCGUGCCAGCAGCCGCGGUAAUACGUAGGGUGCAAGCGUUGUCCGGAAUUAUUGGGCGUAAAGAGCUCGUAGGCGGCUUGUCGCGUUUGCUGUGAAAUCCCGGGGCUCAACCUGGGAACUGCUUUCAAAACUGGCAAGCUAGAGUAUGGCAGAGGGUGGUGGAAUUUCCUGUGUAGCGGUGAAAUGCGUAGAUAUAGGAAGGAACACCAGUGGCGAAGGCGACUACCUGGACUGAUACUGACACUGAGGUGCGAAAGCGUGGGGAGCAAAC
rnacentral:rRNA from 1 species